rnacentral:misc_RNA from 1 species
GCAAUUGCACCACCAUUGACAUUGACUUUUUCUGGAUCAAGCUCCAGUUUCUUACAACAAUAAACAUACUGGGAUGCAAAUGCCUCAUUAAUUUCAAACAGGUCAAUAUCAUCAAUUUCUAGUCCAGCAGCUUUCACUGCAGCUGGAAUUGCAAAAGCUGGGCCUACUCCCAUAACAGCAGGAUCCACACCAAUAGCGGCAAAACUCCUGAACACACCAAGAAUUGGAAGUCCCUUCUGCACAGCCACACUUCUUUUAGUAAGAAGGACUGCACCAGCACCAUCACUGACCUGGCUAGCAUUACCAGCAGUUGUGGACCCAUCCUUUUUGAACGCAGGCUUCAGCUUCGCCAGAUCUGCCAUGUUUGUGUUUGGUCGAAUUCCAUCAUCCACUGAAAUUGUGACAGACUUCUCUUCACCAGUUUUUGGGUCUAUGAUCUUUGUAGAAACUGGGAUGAUUUCAUCUUUGAAUUUUCCAGAUAGAGUCGCUGCAGCAGCUUUCCUAUGAGAUUCAACUGCAGCCUGGUCUUGCUCUUGCCGUGUAACACCAUAACGCUGUGCAACAUUUUCAGAAGUGAUACCCAUAGGAAGAAGACAAUCUCGAGCUUGUACAAAGGCAUCUACUCUUGGGUUAACUUGGGAAACUCUGCCAAUGGAAUCCACCGUCAUGCACUCCAACCCAGCCCCAAUGCCAAUGUCAUAAAAUCCAGCUUUUAUGGAAGCAGCAACAUCAGCAACUGCCUGCAGGCCAGACGAGCAUUGCCUGUUGACUGUUCUGAUGGGCACCGUUUCAGGAAAACCAGCAUAGAAAGCCGCCAUCCUGCACUCAGUUGCCCUUUGUGAACCAGGAGGAAGAACUGUACCAACAACUAUGUCCCCUACCUCACUUGGAUUCACAUUUGUUUUCUCUAUCAGUGCCUUCAAAACUGAGCCAAGUAGAUCAUCGGGAUGGGUAUCCUUGAAACCACCUCGCUUGGAUUUGCAAAUGGCAGUGCGGUAAGCACCCACUAUCACCACAUCAUCACCAAAAGCAGCUGUCCGGUGAUAUGCAGCGUUAUCUCCAGCCGCACAAACUGAAGUAGAAAAACAAGCUGACUCAUGGGACUGCAAAAGAGCAGAAGAAGAAGAAGUGGGUUGCAAAUGACCAAGAAGAACUUUCUGUCUGUUUACUGCUUUCUCCAUUUUUCUCCCUCCCUAUCUCUCUGUAAGAAUGGGUACCGUCUGAAAUUAUUGUAGUUGUGAUUUGAGAUAGAUAGCUAUAUAUAAAUACCAAGCUUUAUUUGUACUGGAAGAA